rnacentral:sRNA from 1 species
AUUAUUUAUUUCCAAUCCCCAUAACUCAUGACAAUUUUAAGCAACCUACCUCGAGGGAGUUUUUAAGGAUACACUCAAUUAAGUCUUGUGGUCAUCUGGAUGGAGGAGUGUCAACGAAGAAGAUUGAACUGUAUUUCGGUGAAGUGAAAAUUGAAAUGGUGCUGAAUGGAGGU